CGGCAAGAGCUCAAAUUUGAAAGCUGGCCCCUUCGGGGUCCGCAUUGUAAUUUGCAGAGGAUGCUUCGGGAGUGGCCCCCAUCUAAGUGCCCUGGAACAGGACGUCAUAGAGGGUGAGAAUCCCGUAUGUGACUGGCUGCCUUCGCCUAUGUGAAGCUCUUUCGAC
rnacentral:rRNA from 1 species